rfam:Nicotiana attenuata strain TT chromosome 1, whole genome shotgun sequence.
UGGACAGAUUAUUGUAUUCGACUGUAUUCACGGCGUGAAAUAGUGAAUCAAUUAACAUAUUAGACUCCC